rnacentral:rRNA from 1 species
UACGAAGGGGGCUAGCGUUGCUCGGAAUCACUGGGCGUAAAGGGUGCGUAGGCGGGUCUUUAAGUCAGGGGUGAAAUCCUGGAGCUCAACUCCAGAACUGCCUUUGAUACUGAAGAUCUUGAGUUCGGGAGAGGUGAGUGGAACUGCGAGUGUAGAGGUGAAAUUCGUAGAUAUUCGCAAGAACACCAGUGGCGAAGGCGGACUCGACUGGCCCGAGUACCUGACGC